CGGGAUUCACGACGACCGAGC
rnacentral:miRNA from 1 species